GGACUACACGGGUAUCUAAUCCUGUUUGCUCCCCUAGCUUUCGUCUCUCAGCGUCAGUUGCGAUCCAGCGAGCCGCUUUCGCCUCGGGUGUUCCUGCAGAUAUCUACGCAUUUCACCGCUACACCUGCAAUUCCACUCGCCUCUCUCGCACUCGAGCACGGCAGUUUCGGGAGCAGUCCCAGAGUUAAGCUCUGGAAUUUCACACCCGACUUGCCGCACCGCCUACAGACCCUUUACGCCCAGUUAUUCCGAGCAACGCUGGCCCCCUACGUUUUACCGCGGCUGCUGGCAC
rnacentral:rRNA from 1 species